rnacentral:rRNA from 1 species
GAGAGUUAAAUAGUACGUGAAAUUGUUGAAAGGGAAACGAUUGAAGUCAGUCAUGCUAGUGAAAAUUCAGUUUGACGGGUUUUGGGUUUAGGAGUAAGAGGUAGGGUUAAACCGUCUCUCUUUUAAACUUGGGAUUUGUCGAUGCACUUUUUCUUUGGCAGGUCAGCGUCGAUUUCGGGGGUUGUAAAAUACUUGGGGGAAAGUAGCUCUGCUUCGGGAGAGUGUUAUAGACCUUGGGAGAUGCAGCCCGUGGGAUCGAGGAUUGCAGCAAAUGCCUUUGGCUUGUCUUCUGAUCUUUGGUUGUUACCUCGUUUAUGACAACAUUCUUGUCAUCGAUGAGUUCUAAUGGUUAUGGGUUAGAAUGAUCAAAAAUUUGCUAAGGAUGCUGACGUAAUGGCUUUAAACGA